rnacentral:rRNA from 1 species
GAUGAACGCUGGCGGCGUGCUUAACACAUGCAAGUCGAACGGGAAUUAUUUUAUUGAAACUUCGGUCGAUUUAAUUUAAUUCUAGUGGCGGACGGGUGAGUAACGCGUGGGUAACCUGCCUUAUACAGGGGGAUAACAGUCAGAAAUGGCUGCUAAUACCGCAUAAGCGCACAGGGCUGCAUGGCUCAGUGUGAAAAACUCCGGUGGUAUAAGAUGGACCCGCGUUGGAUUAGCUGGUUGGUGGGGUAACGGCCCACCAAGGCGACGAUCCAUAGCCGGCCUGAGAGGGUGAACGGCCACAUUGGGACUGAGACACGGCCCAGACUCCUACGGGAGGCAGCAGUGGGGAAUAUUGCACAAUGGGGGAAACCCUGAUGCAGCGACGCCGCGUGAAGGAAGAAGUAUCUCGGUAUGUAAACUUCUAUCAGCAGGGAAGAUAGUGACGGUACCUGACUAAGAAGCCCCGGCUAACUACGUG